UUUUUUUUUUUUUUUUUUUUUUUUUUUUAUGAAUUUACAAUUUACAGCAUAGCAUUGAACAACUAAAACGAGUAAUGGUGUUAGAAAUGGAAACAAAUGAAAAUCAAAAAUUUUUUCCAAAUAAGAUGAAUAACAAUGAUUCAGAAAAACAUAAUAAUGAAGAACGCCUUGAAAAUAUAAAUAGUCUAGAUGGUUAGUAUAAAACAUAUAUGUAUAUAUAUACCCAUUUAAUGCACCCAGUUUAUGCACAUAACCCAUGUAUAUAAUAAUAUACUGACUAAAUUAUUUUUUCUUUAUUUAUAGAAAUCUAUUUUUAUCAAUGUGUAGAUGGACAAUGCAUAUUCUUAGAUCCUUUUAUCCUAAAGUAUAACAAAUUAAAAAAGUUUUUAUGCACAUAUCUAUAUCUCUACAUAUACAUAUGUAUAUAUACAUAUAUGUAUAUACAUAUAUGUAUACUGCUUUUUUUCAAACUGUUUUAUUUUUAGAUUACUUUUUUAUGAGUAUGAUAAUGAUUUAAAUAGAAUACCAAAAUUUCUAUGUGAUAAACAAAUUACAUACAUUGAAUCUUUCGAACUAGACCCCAAAAUGAGAAAUAAACACCCAACUUUGUCACAUUUACCUUUGGGAGUUAACGUUUUUUUUGUUUCUAUAAAUAUAGAUAACCUUGUGUCGAAAAAAACUAAAACAUACUUUUCAAAAGAAAUACUUGAAAGGGAAAAGAAGCAUCGAUUUAUAUUGAGUAAAAAAAGACAGGAGGAAAAGUAUUUUAAGUUGUUAGCGGAUGAAGACAUGAACCGAAAAGAAAAACUUUAUUGGAAUUUGCCUCGAAAUACAAUCAAUUUUUUAGAGGACUCAAUGACUGGAAAUUAUAACAUACAAAGACGUUCUGAGCAUCCUGAUGAUAAAACGUUUCCUAGUUUGACACUGGAAAGUUCUAAACUGUUUCACUAUGACGAACAUUUAACAAAAAAUCAAAUGGAUAGUAUAAAUUUGGCAAGUGUGAAAAAUGUAGAAACUAAGGAAAUGCAAGAGCAGGGACAGAAAAAAGAGCAGGAACAAGAACAGGGACAGAAAAAAGAGCAGGAACAAGAACAGGGACAGAAAAAAGAGCAGGAACAAGAACAGGUACAAGAACAGGAGCAUGACUAUAAGCAAGAACAAGAGCAGGAACAAAAGCAGAAACAAGAACAAAAAUACGAAAAUAAGCGUGAGCAGAAAGAGGGACAGGUUACUAAACAUUAUGUUGGUGAUAGUAAAAAAAAAAUAAAUAGCAGUAGUAACAACGUUAAUAGUAAUAAUAAUAAUCCAAAAAAAAAUGAAAAAAAAAAAAAUGCGAAGAAUGAAUGUAAUAACAAUGAUUGUAAUUAUGAAAAGGAUAAAUUGGCAGAUGAUGAAAAUGGAAAUAAUGUUAUACAUAAACGUACAUUCCUUGAUGUGAUUAAAAAAAAAAAUCAGACUAAUGAUAGUAAAUCAAAAAUGGAUAAAACAAAAGAAGGAGAAAAUAUUUUUAUUGUAUGUGGGUCUAUGACGGUUAAUUUGAUGGAUUUUGUUAAAAAAAAAAAUACUAAAAAAAAAAAAAAAAAAAAUUAAAGUAUAAACAAAUAAAUUAAAGUAUAAAAAAAAUAAAUUAAAGCA
ensembl:lncRNA